rnacentral:rRNA from 1 species
UACGUAGGGUGCAAGCGUUUGUCCGGAAUUAUUGGGCGUAAAGAGCUUGUAGGCGGUUUGUCGCGUCUGCUGUGAAAUUUCGGGGCUCAACCCCGAACUUGCAGUGGGUACGGGCAGACUAGAGUGUGGUAGGGGAGACUGGAAUUCCUGGUGUAGCGGUGAAAUGCGCAGAUAUCAGGAGGAACACCUGCGGCGAAGGCGGGUUGCUGGGCUGACACUGACGCUGAGGCGCGAAAGCUAGGGGAGCGAACGGG